rnacentral:rRNA from 1 species
AUACGGAGGGUGCAAGCGUUACUCGGAAUCACUGGGCGUAAAGCGCGCGCAGGCGGCUAUUUAAGUUGGAUGUGAAAGCCUACGGCUCAACCGUAGAACUGCAUCCAAAACUAUUUAGCUAGAGUGUGGGAGAGGAAGAUGGAAUUAGUUGUGUAGGGGUAAAAUCCGUAGAGAUAACUAGGAAUACCAAAAGCGAAGGCAAUCUUCUGGAACACUACUGACGCUCAGGCGCGAAAGCGUGGGGAGCAAACAGGAUUAGAAACCCUAGUAGUCC